rnacentral:lncRNA from 1 species
UGUAAGCCAAGAGAUGGAAAAUCUAUCACGUCAAUGAAUGGAACUAAAUAUGAAGGUAUGGAGUUCUUUAAUUUAGUUUUGUAUAAAUAUGUAGAUUUUUUUUUCUUCAUAUUUUUUAUGUUUUCUAUUUCUUUAAAGAAAAUCACCAGUACGUUUCCUGCCACUUUUCUCUUCAUGUGCCCUUAUUAAUUCAUAUUUUUGUUGUUUAUUUUUAUUGAAAGGCUUGAAACUUUUUAAUGACAAAGACAAAAUAGAAGAAUAAAAUCUCUCAUUGUAAGAAUUGAUUCUCCCAUUGAAUGAAGUGUGUGAUCAGUACCGUAGUGUUUAUAUACAGAGUGUUAGGAAAUAUCUAGAAUAAAACUUGUUACCUCUGGAAUGAUAUUGGGGUAUUGGUACUGUGCAGUUCUUAUCUAGUAUAAUGUGCUCUUGUUUGAUUGUUCUGGAAUAGUAUCGUGGCUCUAAUAAUGUGUGAUUGUUCUUGCUGAUAGAGCAUUCUAUUUAUCAAGGCUAACUAAAUUUAGUUGAGCUUGAUGAUGGAACAUUCACAUUCUAUACAUUUAGUAUAGUUUUCUUUCUUUUAUCAUGUUUGAUGAUGGAACAUUGUAUAUAAUUUGUUUUGCAGAUUCUUUUAUUGACAAAUUAUUUCAAGGAAUUGGAGAUGGUGUGCUUUUUAAUUUAGAGAGGUGAGUGUUGAUUUUUGUUCAAAUAAAUACUAUUACUGUAACAUUACCCCUUUUUAACUAACAUCACAGAACUUCCCAUCACACAUGAAUGUAUGAUACUUCUAGUUAAUAAUUACACCAAGAGAUCUAUAUGUUUUGAUAUUCAUCAUUUUAGGUCAUGACUUGCAGCAGACUUCUUUGUUGCUGACUUCUAUUACUUCCAUUCCAUAGAUAUUUUUCAUAUCCUGUAGCAGAUACAGCUUGUAUCACUCUUGUACAGUCAAAGGUUUAAGGAUAGUCAUUUUCUGAGUAGAACUAGCAUUCUUAUGUUCCUUUCACUUUUCUCUUCAUGUGCCCAUGUUGUCUACCGAAGUAUGCAUAACAGUUCAUAGCAUCUGACUGUUCAUAAAACUUUUGCAUAACAGUUCAGAUUAUAUAUAUCCUCAAAACGAGUGAGUAAUUAGCUAUAACCUUGGAAUUGCAGGUUGACAUAUUCGUGAUUUCAGCAAUGGUGUUGCGAAACAUGAUGUAUUGAUUAGCUUACUUCCAGUGAUGAGUUGAUUUUGAAUGUAUUAUGGAUCUAUGUUAAAUGUUGUAGUUUUCAUUUUCUGUUUUUAUUGUGGUCUAGUUUAAAUUUGAACAUUAUGUCAUUUGAAUGUAAACAUUGGAAUUCUUCUGGA